UAGGGAAUCUUCGGCAAUGGACGAAAGUCUGAACGAGCAACGCCGCGUGAGUGAAGAAGGUUUUCGGAUCGUAAAACUCUGUUGUUAGAGAAGAACGUUGCAUAGAGUGGAAAAUUAUGCAAGUGACGGUAUCUAACCAGAAAGGGACGGCUAACUACGUGCCAGCAGCCGCGGUAAUACGUAGGUCCCGAGCGUUGUCCGGAUUUAUUGGGCGUAAAGCGAGCGCAGGUGGUUUAAUAAGUCUGAUGUAAAAGGCAGUGGCUCAACCAUUGUGUGCAUUGGAAACUGUUAGACUUGAGUGCAGUAGAGGAGAGUGGAAUUCCAUGUGUGGCGGUGAAAUGCGUAGAUAUAUGGAGGAACACCGGUGGCGAAAGCGGCUCUCUGGACUGUCACUGACACUGAGGAUCGAAAGCGUGGGUAGCAAACAGG
rnacentral:rRNA from 1 species